CCCUCCACCUGCUCCCCCUCCUCCUUAUCUUCUCGCCCCAGGAACCCUAGCCACCAACCCAUCUUCCUCUCCCUCCUGCCGCCGCCAACCCCCUCUCCCCUAUCUCUUUUCUCUGUGGGAAAAUGAAGAAGAGAAAACCCCACUGCCACCACCGUCCUCACCAUGGCGCCGCCGCUACACACCAUCCCCCGCCGUUCUGAGGGCACCGGCGGAUGCGCCUCGUCGUCCUCUACCUCCUGGUGCGCGGAAUCGUCCCAAGAGGCCUCGAGUUGAGCGCAAGGUCGCCGAUUCUUCGCGCUGGACUUCAUGUUUCUUCUCCGAUUCCGGCCGCCCUCGUCCUCCUCCGGCGAAACCGACCACACCUCCAGCUUCCCCAUGUUGAGGCGCACCCCCGACGCCUCGCGCUCGUGCUGUUUCGUCCGUAGAUAUCAAGUUCUUCUCCGACCAGGAUCUUCCGCCAUGGACGCCAUGCCCGAGCUCCGCCUCUCUCUGCUUCUAGUAGUCGGGCGACCCACAAACCAUCACCAUCCGAUCAGGCAGCGCAGUGAUCCCGCAGGCACAAAUGGUUUACCUUGCGUGGGAGACCUUCCAAACCAGCAACAACAUGUAGCCGAGCUGAUCUGCUAGAUCUUCUGCAGAUGGGCCUCAGCCCACUCGUCGUGAGCAUCUUCAUCGCACAGAGCGCGGUGGGCCGCUAUCCGUCGCCGCCUUUCCCUCAGGUCCAGCCCGUGUCUCUAUCUGCUUCUAUUCCUGUUUGCAAAAUCUUCCAAAAUUCAUAUCUUUUAAUUGGUAACUCCAAAUAAAAUGUUCUAUAUAUGAAAAUUGUUCAGAAAAAUAUAAGGAACAUGAAUAUGCCAUCCAUA